UAAUGUUGAAAAAUUAGCGGAUGACUUGUGGCUGGGGGUGAAAGGCCAAUCAAACCGGGAGAUAGCUGGUUCUCCCCGAAAGCUAUUUAGGUAGCGCCUCGUGAAUUCAUCUCCGGGGGUAGAGCACUGUUUCGGCAAGGGGGUCAUCCCGACUUACCAACCCGAUGCAAACUGCGAAUACCGGAGAAUGUUAUCACGGGAGACACACGGCGGGUGCUAACGUCCGUCGUGAAGAGGGAAACAACCCAGACCGCCAGCUAAGGUCCCAAAGUCAUGGUUAAGUGGGAAACGAUGUGGGAAGGCCCAGACAGCCAGGAUGUUGGCUUAGAAGCAGCCAUCAUUUAAAGAAAGCGUAAUAGCUCACUGGUCGAGUCGGCCUGCGCGGAAGAUGUAACGGGGCUAAACCAUGCAC
rnacentral:rRNA from 1 species